rnacentral:rRNA from 1 species
UAGUCAUAUGCUUGUCUCAAAGAUUAAGCCAUGCAUGUGUCAGUACAGGCCGUUCUAAGGCAAAACCGCGAAUGGCUCAUUAAAUCAGUUAUCACCUACCGGGUCAUAUCCUAACUUACUUGGAUAACCCUGGUAAUUCUAGAGCUAAUACGUGAACACGAACACCCCGACCGCAAGGGAGGGGUGCUCUUAUCAGAUUUAGAAACCAACCAGGCCUCGGUCUGUCAAAUGAACUAUGCUGAAUUCUAGAUAAUUUAUAGCCGAGAGCACGGUCUCCGCACCGGCUCCGUACCCCUCGAGUUUCUGCCUUAUCAUGCUGUGGAUUGUAGGCCACGCGCCUACAAUGGCUGUAACGGGUGACGGGGAAUCAGGGUUCGAUUCCGGAGAGGGAGCCUGAGAAACGGCUACCACAUCCAAGGAAGGCAGCAGGCACGCAAAUUACCCAAUCCCAGCUCUGGGAGGUAGUGACGAAAAAUAACAAUGCGGGACUCUUCCGAGUCUGCGUAAUUGGAAUGAGAACACUUUAAAUCCUUUACCGACAACCAAUUGGAGGGCAAGUCUGGUGCCAGCAGCCGCGGUAAUUCCAGCUCCAAUAGCGUAUAUUAAAGUUGUUGCG